GUAGGGAAUAUUGCGCAAUGGACGAAAGUCUGACGCAGCGACGCCGCGUGAGUGAUGAAGGCCUUAGGGUCGUAAAGCUCUGUUGAAUGGGAAGAAAAAAAUGACGGUACCAUUCGAGGAAGGACCGGCUAACUUCGUGCCAGCAGCCGCGGUAAUACGAGGGGUCCUAGCGUUGUUCGGAAUCAUUGGGCGUAAAGGGUGUGUAGGUGGCCAUGUAAGUCAGGUGUGAAAGCCCCGGGCUCAACCCGGGAAGUGCACUUGAUACUGCGUGGUUGAGUACCGAAGAGGGUAGUGGAAUUCCAGGUGUAGUGGUGAAAUACGUAGAUAUCUGGAGGAACACCGGUGGCGAAGGCGGCUACCUGGUCGAGUACUGACACUGAGACACGAAAGCAUGGGGAUCAAACAGGAUUAGAUACCCCUGUAGUCC
rnacentral:rRNA from 1 species